GCUUAUACUCGACCGUCAGCGGCACGUGCGAUCGCGCGAGCGAUCACGAAGCCCUGACGAGUAGGAGGGUCGCGGCGGUGAGCGCAGAAGGGCUGGCCGCGAGGCCGUCUGGAGCCGCCGUCGGUGCAGAUCUUGGUGGUAGUAGCAAAUACUCCAGCGAGGCCCUGGAGGACUGACGUGGAGAAGGGUUUCGUGUGAACAGCCGUUGCACACGAGUCAGUCGAUCCUAAGCCCUAGGCGAAAGCCGAUGUCGAUGCGGUGUAGCUUUAUUAUGUUAUUUAAUUUACAAGCACACACCCGUCGGGCGAAAGGGAAUCCGGUUCCUAUUCCGGAACCUGGCAGCGGAACCGUAAAAAAGUCGGGC
rnacentral:rRNA from 1 species